UCAGACCGUUGAAGAAAGUGAACGAGUGAGGUGGAGCUUAGUGUGAGCUUAGUGGUCACCCAUAAACAUAGGUGAACAUUCCAGAACGCCUGUUAUGCUGACUAGACAUAAGUUCUAAUUGGUGACGGGAGCACAGCCAUUCCCUUGACAUGUGAGUUAGGAGCAACAGGGAACCAGCAGACUGUCUGUCCAGCCGUGUUAAACUCCGCAACAAGAGAAAAGAUUGGAAGGUGCGGAGGUUGUGUUACAGAGACGCAGGUCAUCAUUGACACCACCACCACUACCAGGGAAUCGUUGAGGGCGUGGUGCAGCACUCUGAACUUUACCUGCACGUGUGCUGCGGCCGACACUCGCACUGUACAAACCUGCAUCGUCACCGUUAGCAACAUUCAGUGGAGGACUGGAUGGACAAAAGCGCCUGAGGAAUAAGACUGAAGAUGUGAGUGGCGUCUCACAACCUGACAACCUGUGCCAUGUGGUGAUGGUGAUUGACUCCGUUCUUGUCACCUCCAAGGAAACAAAUACGUUGCCUCCCGCCUGUUGCUGAGCGUCUCUCCUCGCCCUGAACCACACUCAUCCAACAAACAUGGAUUCUUCCGCCAGAAAACCUGAGUUGCCACCGUCAGCAUCUCAAGAAGAUCCAGGGCAGCAGGAACUGAGUCCCCAAGAUGACCUUCCUCCAAAGCUCACUCGAAAGUCCUCUAAAUAUGUUCAUGACAAGCAGAGCAAUGACUCAGUUGCUCCAAACACUCCCUCUUCUGAGUCUUUUGGAAAAUAUCCUGUCAGGGGAACGCUCAGUGUAAAUCUCAGAGCUCAGGAUUGCACGUCAGGCAUAUACGAUACUCCACCGUCUGGUCCUCCGAAGAAGGUGAAGGAACACAACGAAAA